rnacentral:rRNA from 1 species
AGCGAGCGGAUCCCUUCGGGGUGAAGCUCGUGGAACGAGCGGCGGACGGGUGAGUAACACGUGGGCAACCUGCCUGUAAGACCGGAAUAACCCCGGGAAACCGGGGCUAAUGCCGGGUAAUACUUUCUUUCGCAUGAAGGAAAGUUGAAAGAUGGCUUCUCGCUAUCACUUACAGAUGGGCCCGCGGCGCAUUAGCUAGUUGGUGAGGUAACGGCUCACCAAGGCGACGAUGCGUAGCCGACCUGAGAGGGUGAUCGGCCACACUGGGACUGAGACACGGCCCAGACUCCUACGGGAGGCAGCAGUAGGGAAUCUUCCGCAAUGGACGAAAGUCUGACGGAGCAACGCCGCGUGAACGAUGAAGGUCUUCGGAUCGUAAAGUUCUGUUGUUAGGGAAGAACAAGUGCCGUGCGAAUAGAGCGGUACCUUGACGGUACCUAACGAGGAAGCCCCGGCUAACUACGUGCCAGCAGCCGCGGUAAUACGUAGGGGGCAAGCGUUGUCCGGAAUUAUUGGGCGUAAAGCGCGCGCAGGCGGUUCCUUAAGUCUGAUGUGAAAGCCCACGGCUCAACCGUGGAGGGUCAUUGGAAACUGGGGAACUUGAGGACAGAAGAGGAGAG